rnacentral:rRNA from 1 species
AUACGUAGGGGGCGAGCGUUGUCCGGAAUGAUUGGGCGUAAAGGGCGCGUAGGCGGCCCGGUAAGUCUGGAGUGAAAGUCCUGUUUUUAAGAUGGGAAUUGCUUUGGAUACUGUCGGGCUUGAGUGCAGGAGAGGUAAGUGGAAUUCCCAGUGUGGCGGGGGAAUGCGUAGAGAUUGGGAGGAACACCAGUGGCGAAGGCGACUUACUGGACUGUAACUGACGCUGAGGCGCGAAAGUGUGGGGAGCAAACAGGAUUAGAUACCCUGGUAGUCCACACUGUAAACGAUGAAUGCUAGGUGUAGGGGUAUCGACCCCUUCUGUGCCGCAGUCAACACAAUAAGCAUUCCGCCUGGGGAGUACGGCCGCAAGGUUGAAACUCAAAGGAAUUGACGGGG